rnacentral:lncRNA from 1 species
UUUUUAAGGUUCCAAAUUUAUGUCAAGAUGUGCAUGUAUCUAUAUUAGUUGAGUUUAGUAAAAGUUAAGAUGUUUGUCAUUAAAAAUGAAAUAAUCUUGAAGACUUUACUGACUGCAGUCAAUAGGAAAGGGAGAAAGUCACUCUGGUCUCCUAGUAGCCUCCUGGUUUUUAUACAUGACAUGCAUUGUUUUAACUGCUUUUAUACAGUAGCUAUAUACAUGCACAUAAAACCAUGAACCAAUUGCAGCCAUACUUUUUUGACUUAUAAUACAGGGACUUUGGGCCCAUUUUUGAACAAAUUAAAAAAUUCCAGAUUUAAUUGGAACAUAGUUUCGUCCUGCCCUUCGCUGCCUGUGGAGGGGCGGGGCAAGACUAAUCAGACCAUUGAUCUAUGAUUGGAAUCGGUUCAGAUUUUCUAUGCAACAAAAGUAUAUGUAUACUAUUCUCUCUCUAACUAGUCUCUCCGAGGACAACACCACACUUAAGAAAGUUUAUUGAGGAGCAACUAAACACCUUCAGCCAAUCAGAAGUUCCCUUAUCUUGUGUCGAUAAUAGGAAAUCCAGG